CAGGAGGGGGCAAGCGUUAUUCGGAAUUAUUGGGCGUAAAGGGCGCGUAGGCGGCUAGCCAAGUGGCGGGUGAAAUCCCUCGGCUUAACCGAGGAACUGCCUGCCAGACUGGCUGGCUCGAGACCGGGAGAGGUGAGUGGAAUUCCCAGUGUAGCGGUGAAAUGCGUAGAUAUUGGGAGGAACACCAGUGGCGAAGGCGGCUCACUGGACCGGAACUGACGCUGAGGCGCGAAAGCGUGGGGAGCAAACAGGAUUAGAUACCCUGGUAGUCCACGCCGUAAACGAUGAGUGCUUGGUGUAGCGGGUAUCGACCCCUGCUGUGCCGACGUCAACACAUUAAGCACUCCGCCUGGGGAGUACGGUCGCAAGACUG
rnacentral:rRNA from 1 species